UACGUAGGUGGCAAGCGUUGUCCGGAUUUACUGGGCGUAAAGGGCGUGCAGGCGGUCUGUUAAGUUCAGGGUGAAAGCUCCCGGCUCAACUGGGAGAGGUCCUUGGAUACUGGCAGACUCGAGGGAGGUAGAGGAGAGUGGAAUUCCCGGUGUAGUGGUGAUAUGCGUAGAUAUCGGGAGGAACACCGGUGGCGAAGGCGGUUCUCUGGGCCUUACCUGACGCUGAGGAGCGAAAGCGUGGGGAGCGAACAGG
rnacentral:rRNA from 1 species